UUUUAACGGCUGCGGUAUUUUGACCGUGCUAAGGUAGCAUAAUCAAUUGUUUUUUAAUUGAAAACUAGUAUGAACGGUUUAAUUUACUUAAUUAGUUUGUAAUUUUUAAUAGUAAGUUAAAUAUAAAGUAAGAAUUCUUUAAUAAAUUAGGGGACGAUAAGACCCUAAAAGCUUUAUGAUUGGCAUUUAAUUGGUGAUAGCGGUGUUAUUAAUUCACUGGGGCAGUGAGUUUAGGUAUAUUUAAGUAAAAUUAAAAGCUCCUUUAAAUAAAGAUUUCAUGUAUAAGUUACUUUAGGGAUAACAGUGCAAUAUAUUUGGGGAGACCAUAUCUAUAAAUAUGAUUGCAACCUCGUCGAUGUUGAAUUAAAAU
rnacentral:rRNA from 1 species